rnacentral:rRNA from 1 species
UAAUUGAAGAGUUUGAUCAUGGCUCAGAUUGAACGCUGGCGGUAGGCUUAACACAUGCAAGUCGUGCGAGAAAGUAUCUUCGGAUAUGAGUAGAGCGGCGGACGGGUGAGUAACGCGUAGGAAUCUACCUAGUAGAAGGGGAUAGCCCGGGGAAACUCGGAUUAAUACCGUAUACCUCCUUUGGGAGAAAGAAGGCCUCUCUUUGAAGCUUUCGCUAUUAGAUGAGCCUGCGUAAGAUUAGCUUGUUGGUGAGGUAAAGGCUCACCAAGGCGACGAUCUUUAGCGGGUCUGAGAGGACGAUCCGCCACAUUGGGACUGAGACACGGCCCAGACUCCUACGGGAGGCAGCAGUGGGGAAUAUUGGACAAUGGGCGCAAGCCUGAUCCAGCCAUACCGCGUGUGUGAAGAAGGCCCUAGGGUUGUAAAGCACUUUAAGUUGGGAAGAAAAGUUAUUGGUUAAUACCCAAUAACCGUGACAUUACCAUCAGAAUAAGGACCGGCUAAUUCCGUGCCAGCAGCCGCGGUAAUACGGAAGGUCCAAGCGUUAAUCGGAAUUACUGGGCGUAAAGCGCGCGUAGGUGGUUUAUUAAGUUGGAUGUGAAAUCCCCGGGCUCAACCUGGGAACUGCAUCCAAAACUGAUUCACUAGAGUACGAUAGAGGGAGGUAGAAUUCACAGUGUAGCGGUGGAAUGCGUAGAUAUUGUGAAGAAUACCAAUGGCGAAGGCAGCCUCCUGGAUCUGUACUGACACUGAGGUGCGAAAGCGUGGGUAGCGAACAGGAUUAGAUACCCUGGUAGUCCACGCCGUAAACGAUGUCAACUAGCUGUUGGAAAACUAUGUUUUUCAGUGGCGCAGCUAACGUAGUAAGUUGACCGCCUGGGGAGUACGGCCGCAAGGCUAAAACUCAAAUGAAUUGACGGGGACCCGCACAAGCGGUGGAGCAUGUGGUUUAAUUCGAUGCAACGCGAAAAACCUUACCUAUACUUGACAUACUUGGAAUGCUUUGUAAUGAAGCAGUGCCCUCGGGAGCCAAGAUACAGGUGCUGCAUGGCUGUCGUCAGCUCGUGUCGUGAGAUGUUCCGUUAAGUCGGAUAACGAGCGCAACCCUUACCCUUAUUUGCCAGCGAUUCGGUCGGGAACUAUAAGGGGACUGCCGGUGAUAAACCGGAGGAAGGUGAGGACGACGUCAAGUCAUCAUGGCCCUUACGUAUAGGGCUACACACGUGCUACAAUGGAGAAUACAGACGGACGCUAAGCCGCGAGGUGGUGCUAAUCCUAGAAAAUUCUUCGUAGUCCGGAUUGGAGUCUGCAACUCGACUCCAUGAAGUCGGAAUCGCUAGUAAUCGCGAAUCAGCAUGUCGCGGUGAAUACGUUCUCGGGUCUUGUACACACCGCCCGUCAUACCAUGGAAGUGGAUUGCACCAGAAGUAGAUAGUCUAACCUUCGGGAGGGCGUUUACCACGGUGUGCUUCAUGACUGGGGUAAAGUCGUAACAAGGUAGCCGUAGGGGAACCUGUGGCUGGAUCACCUCCUUA